rfam:Eutypa lata TCREL1 unplaced genomic scaffold EL1_03_scaffold_1008, whole genome shotgun sequence.
AAGAUUAUAGUUUAACGGUAGAACAGUAAUUUUCCAUAUUACAAAUUCGGGUUCAAUUCCCGAUAGUCUUA